rnacentral:rRNA from 1 species
AUGACGCCACGGAUGACCUCGCAGGGUGGCGUCGCGCUGCCGUCCGCUGUGAAGCCACGGGCCCUCGUCUCCAAGCGACCGAAUCUAGCGGCGGCGGCGGCCCGGAAGAAGAACAAAGCGGCGGACGACUCUUCUAGGCGAUCAAAGAAGAAACUUGCAGGUCGUCCGGCCGCGCCUCCGCCGACCGAAGCGCCGGAGAGCUCGCAAUUUGUUGUGCCAGCGACCGAUGCCGCGCCUAUGCCGACCGAAGCGCCGGAGAGCUCGCAAUUUGUUGUGCCGGCGACCGAUGCCGCGCCUCCGCCGACCGAAGCGCAGGAGAGCUCACAAUUUGUUGUGCCGGCGACCGAUGCCGCGCCUCCGCCGACCGAAGCGCCGGAGAGCUUGCAAUUUGUUGCGCCGGCGGCCAAUGCGCACAAGGUGUGUGAUGAAAUGCUCACAAGUUUCAGUUAUGACACAUAUAUGUCAACUAUGGGCGUUGGCUCCAACAAUGAUGCCGUUGGAGAUCUUGCGAAUACCAUCCAAGCUCCCGAUGACAACGGCGCGCUUGAAAAUGGAGAAGAAGAGGAAGAAUCGUCUUCGGAAGAGUCGAAAGAAGAGGAGGAAGAAGAUGAUGUGGCAUGA